rnacentral:rRNA from 1 species
UACAGAGGUCUCAAGCGUUGUUCGGAUUCAUUGGGCGUAAAGGGUGUGUAGGUGGCGCGCUAAGUCGGGUGUGAAAUUCGGAGCUUAACUCCGAACUGCAUUCGAUACUGGCGUGCUUGAGGACUGGAGAGGAGACUGGAAUUCAUGGUGUAGCAGUGAAAUGCGUAGAGAUCGUAAGGAAGACCAGUGGCGAAGGCGGGUCUCUGGACAGUUCCGUGAGCGCUGAGGCACGAAGGUCAGGGGAGCAAACGGG